UACGUAGGAAGCGAGCGUUGUUCGGAUUCAUUGGGCGUAAAGGGUGCGUAGGCGGCGCGGUAAGUCGGGUGUGAAAUCUCGGAGCUUAACUCCGAAACUGCAUUCGAUACUGCCGUGCUUGAGGACUGGAGAGGAGACUGGAAUUUACGGUGUAGCGGUGAAAUGCGUAGAUAUCGUAAGGAAGACCAGUGGCGAAGGCGGGUCUCUGGACAGUUCCUGACACUGAGACACGAAGGCCAGGGGAGCAAACGGG
rnacentral:rRNA from 1 species